AGAAACCUCAAAUGCAGUUGCUGCCCAAGCUGUCCAUCGUGCUGAGCGUCAGCGCAAAAUGCAGCGGCGUUCCCUUGGAGGGAGGUGAGGGACGGGCCAGGGCAUCAGGACACAGAGUGUGAUUUUGAGAGGGCUGGAGGACUGGGGCUCACAGGAGUGGACGUUCAGAAUACAUUGACACAGGCAGACUCUGGGGAGCUGCUACCUCAGAAGGGGCAAAAGAACAGAAAGUGAAGUUACAGGCCAGCAAGCAGGUUUCGCUCAAUACCUGGCUGCCGUGAACGUCUCUCCACAGUCAUAGGCUGACAUCCUCACCCCUAAGAGAGGAAGAUACAAGAAGACACCAUCUAGGAGCCAGGAGGAAGGCCCUCACUGAGAACCAGACCAUGCCAACACCCGGAUCAUGGACUUUCACUCACCAGAACUUGUCUGAAGAGUGGUUCCAUCUACCCGGAUUAUGAAGUUCUCGUCUGGCAUCCAUUUGGGGAGGCAGACGUGAGCAGGAGGCGUGCUUCCAUCCCUUCAGCCCCAUCUCCGUGAGCACAGCAUUAUGACCACUACCACUCUCAGUGCAUUCCCUUGGGAGGACGGGUCCGGAGGGACUGCAGAGAGCAGAAGACAGCCGUGAGGCAGCCAAAGGAGCUCUAGACUUGGAGUUAUUUCAUUGCAUCAGCCCUGGCCUCUCCUGGCAGGAUCAUCAUUCCCGUUUUGCAGAAAGGAAAACACAGCUCUGAAACAGGGAGUGAUGACCAAGCUCUCGCAGCCCCUACGCGGCACAGCUGAGGUUUAAAUGCAAGUCUUUGGGGGCCACGACGUGGUUUCUCACUUAGGCCUGCUUACAUCACACAGAAUGGUAAUGAUUUCAGGCCGAGCCUGUGUCCUGGAACCUGCCUCAUCUACAGGGUCAGGUCAGGCCACACCCUGGGCCGUCCUAGCCUAGGCGCCUAGGCACAUCUAGUAGUUACUAAAAGAGGUUCCUAUUACAGCUGCUGCAGAGACACGGAAAGCCGG